rnacentral:rRNA from 1 species
GACGAACGCUGGCGGCGUGCCUAAUACAUGCAAGUCGAACGCUUUGAUUUUCACCGGAGCUUGCUCCACCGAAAAUCAAAGAGUGGCGGACGGGUGAGUAACACGUGGGCAACCUGCCCAACAGAGGGGGAUAACACUUGGAAACAGGUGCUAAUACCGCAUAAUUUGUUUUCCCGCAUGGGAGAAUAAUAAAAGACGCUUCGGUGUCACUGUUGGAUGGGCCCGCGCUGCAUUAGUUAGUUGGUGGGGUAAUGGCCUACCAAGACCGUGAUGCAUAGCCGACCUGAGAGGGUGAUCGGCCACACUGGGACUGAGACACGGCCCAGACUCCUACGGGAGGCAGCAGUAGGGAAUCUUCGGCAAUGGACGAAAGUCUGACCGAGCAACGCCGCGUGAGUGAAGAAGGUUUUCGGAUCGUAAAACUCUGUUGUUAGAGAAGAACAAGUGGGAGAGUAACUGUUCCCACCUUGACGGUAUCUAACCAGAAAGCCACGGCUAACUACGUGCCAGCAGCCGCGGUAAUACGUAGGUGGCAAGCGUUGUCUGGAUUUAUUGGGCGUAAAGCGAGCGCAGGCGGUUUCUUAAGUCUGAUGUGAAAGCCCUCGGCUCAACCGAGGAAGGUCAUUAGAAACUGGGGAACUUGAAUGCAGAAGAGGAGAGUGGAAUUCCAUGUGUAGCGGUGAAAUGCGUAGAUAUAUGGAGGAACACCAGUGGCGAAGGCGACUCUCCGGUCUGUAAUUGACGCUGAGGCUCGAAAGCGUGGGGAGCAAACAGG